rnacentral:rRNA from 1 species
UACGAAGGGGGGCUAGCGUUGCUCGGAUUUACUGGGCGUAAAGGGCGCGUAGGCGGACAGUUUAGUCAGAGGUGAAAGCCCAGGGCUCAACCUUGGAAUUGCCUUUGAUACUGGCUGUCUUGAGUACGGGAGAGGUGAGUGGAACUCCGAGUGUAGAGGUGAAAUUCGUAGAUAUUCGGAAGAACACCAGUGGCGAAGGCGACUCACUGGCCCGUUACUGACG